rnacentral:RNase_P_RNA from 2 species
AAGGUACAACAGAUAGCGGCUUGAUGUAUUUCAAGAGGAAAGUCCGAGCUGCUAUAAGACAGUGUUCCAUUUAACUAAUGGCCGUGGUAACGCGAGGGAAAGUGCAACAGAGAGAAGACUUCCGCUUUUGGGCGGUAAAGGUGAAAGGGCGGUGUAAGAGACCACCAGUCUUUAUAGCAAUAUAGAGAGCUUGUAAACCCAACAUGGCAGCAAGAAACAGAUGGUCAGCGUCUUAAGGGUGAGAUUAUGGUAGAAAUAUCAUGAUAUUGCUUAUGCUACUGUUUCGCUAGAGUUACUAUGUAAAUAGUAAAGUAGAUUAAUGCUAUCAAAACAAAACUCGGCUUAUAGUUGUACCUAUCCA